CUCUGUGUGGGGCGAGCUGCACCCUUAGAGCAAACCAAGCUUCACACUGGAUGGUGGGGCAGGAGCGGGAGAUCAAAGAGGGAAACGCUGUGUUGCUGCACCACAUCUUCUGGGUCUGAGCCUUUUCCUACUUCAGCUGCAAAGCUCAUGCUCGCUGAGCGAUGGUGUAGGCAUGGGGGGAUGUCGUAAUGAUGAUGGAGUCAAAAUGACUGCUUUGCUUCUGCUGUAUGUAUCUUGGAGCUGGAUUUUUCUGUGAAGUCUGUGGAAGCUUGUUACCACGUUAAAUGCCCAGCUUUCAUUAAAUCCAAUCCUGAAGGAAACAUAGAAGAGUGUUUGCCAACUACAAUAGAAAAUCUCUAAAAGCCUAGAUAUGCCCUAAGCAGCAGAGCGCAGAGGUGGGCUGUGGGCUUCCAGCAAGUUACCGCUGCCAGGGAGAUUGGGAGCGUGGGCAGCUAGCUCCGCAGAAGCUGUGGUCCUGACAGCACUGGGUGUAUUCGAACCACCCCUCUCACCCCACGCACCCACUGGUCAUGUGAAUUUUCAGCCCGCCCAGCUUGACUGAGCAUUUCUGUCUGGAAGCGUCUUGGGAGCAGCUUUCUUCUGAGGUACCCGGUACUUGCUGCUUUUGCUUGAGCAUCGUAGAAAUUCAGGGGUCGUCUUAACUUCAAAGGUGCAUGGAGACUGGCCCCCUCCCUCUGUUUUCCAGAAGGAGCUGCUGUUUGUUUCCCGUGCAGCUGGCCAAACCCUGCCUGACCCCAGCGCCGGGUAGCCUGAUACACCCGACGUGAGCGAGCGGCGAUGCAGUGCAGCCUGCUUACGUGCCCCGAGCGGUGCCUGUUUGCAUAACGAUGCCACUUUUUGUCUGGGGCAAAAGGGACGGAAGAGGACUCUCAUUCCUCAUUCAACUACUGUGGGGCAUAUGUCACGGGUAGCACAUCUCAAGCCAUUUCGUCAGCGCCAGAGAGAGGAGUUACGUCAUUCCUAGCGUGGGGUUGGGUUCGGUGUGCCUCUCUUGGGAGGCCACCUCUCCAGCUGGGAAGCCGUGGCAUGGCAGGCAGCCACCAAGCUGCUCCACAUUUGGUGCCUAACCACAGACCUCCCGGCGUACAGUGUAUCCCGCCGGUUUGGUCGUGUAGUAGAACCAGGGAUAUUGCGACCUAUUUAUUUAUUUCAUUAUCGUCUUUGUUGCGCAAAUGUAAUUCCAUUAGAGCUGAUGUAAUGUAGAAUCAGGCCCUUAGGGUAAUGGGCUAAACUAUAUUCUGGCUGUGUAAGCUGAAGACUUUCAGAGGAAGCCUCAAUGCUCUCAUUUUUUGGUUGUCCUUAGCAGAGCAAAUGAAAAUAUAUCAUUGUUCUCAAGAUUGCUGAAUAAAGCAAGUCCUUUUUAAAAUUUUAUUUCCAUAGCCAUAAAUAGUAAAUUUCAUCCAUUCAUGACUGGUUUAUAAAAGAGUUUGCGAACUAACCAGAUCUGGAGAACUUUCUUUCUCAGCAAGUAUUGCAAUAAGAGAAUUGUUUGUGUUUUUAUUACUUUCCCAAUAUUUUUGUUAUUCUCUUUCCUAAGACACGAUUAGAUUUUCCAGUCUUCUGGACAUCAAAGAUUUUGGAGAAGAGAUUGUAUAAACUGGAUAGGUAACAGCUGUUACCAGACGGAUUUACUGGUGGAAAGGGGAGAAGGCUAAUUUCUUUUAUGUGCUUCCUUCCACUGCUGGCACCUUUCACUGUGGCACACUGUUCCUGUCCUGUGACAGGGAAUAUCUUUGCACAGAGGGAGCCCUUGUCCACAGGAUUACACCUACCUUUGGGUUUCGCUGUUAUUUGUAAGUAACUUUUCCAAAUGCCUUCAUCAUAGCUCUUUUACCUGCUGUUCCAGUAGUUUAUUAGAGAGAAAAGAAUAGGAGAGCAGCUCUAUCUGUGGUAGUUAAUAGCACUGACUUACAGAUUUUCACUUCUGACCUUUUCAAGUCAGAAUUUUUGUUUGCUCCACUUCUGGACAUCUUAGGACACUUCAAAGUGGAUUUAUUUCUGUAAAAUAAAAAAUUGUACAGUGAAUUCCCCAAGAAAGGCCACAAAGGACUGAAGCAGGGUUUUAGCUUGAAUAAAAACUGCAGUCUCUCUGCUGCACCCUCCCAUUUAAUGUGGGAAUGAACAUUUGCAUGAAUCCUCUUUAUUUCCUCAUCUGGUGUAAAAUUCCUUGUAAAAUUCUUUAGGAAAGAUCUUGGAGGGGAAAUGCUAAUUUGUAGUAUUGCAAAGUACUAGCUGGUAAAAUAGAUUGUGUGCGUGUAUGACAACGUGAUUUUUGCAUAUUGCCAUGCCAACAAUAUCUGAUCCCAUUCAGAUAACAGUAAAGCAACCUACAGCUUUGACCAGAUUCGAAGAAAGUCACACUACUUCUACUUUUUCUUAUUUUAGGUUUGAUCUACUUGCUUUCACAUUUGCAUGUUGUGUUUUAAAGUACCCACCCUCGCGUUUUUCAAGCUUCAGCAAAAGACAGCACUUUCAAUAUUUAUUGUCUGCAAAAAAUGUCCUAUGAAUAUUCUAAGACAUCCAAUCUGAUCUAAAAAUUUAAGAGGGACUGGCAACUAGUCUCCCUCUUCCUGAGGUAACCGGGAUGAAUACUUUUGAUCCUUCCCUGCUCUGAGCAACAUUAGAGUCUAUUGCUAUUGCAGGAGAAGAGGCUCUGGCUUCACCCAGUUUGUGAGGAUCCUCAGACCUUUGCAAAAAUGCUCAGUUUCUCACAGUUUGACCCUUUUCUGAAAGCUGGCCUGGGGGCACUGGGCACCUCAUCUGGGAGAACACCACUGGAGCAGAUAAUUCAUGUCAAAGGCAGCUGGGCUGCUGUCGGAAGACUGAAUCCUGGCUGGAGAAGGACAGAACAGAAGCCAUGUCCAAAAAACCAUCUCUAAUGUGAUUUUGGGUUUUUUUUUCAUUACGCUUUAGGCCUCAAUUAAUUUCAAACGUUUUUCUUCCGUCUCCUUCAUUUGCUCCCUGACUACUGCUCCAUAUAUUUAAAGCUAAUGACCCCGAAAAGAGAGGAAGUCCUUCUUUUAAAAGAGCUACUGAGCUUUUGUGCUAAGCCCAGAAUAUUUUUUUCCACACAACCAGUGGAGAAAUGAGAACAUCUCUGCCAGCUUCAAGGUGAAAUUCUCCAUCUUUAGUGAGCGUUUAGACUGCAAUCAAGAUGAAACUUCAAAGGCAAAACUACAGAGGAGGCUCACAGGCUAGGUGGGCAGUUUGCUGCAGGAGCAGGGAAAUAAGCCUUAUCCACUGCUCCUCUUGUAGUGGGAAUUUGCCAUUCAGCUGGCACUGUAAACACAGCAAAGAGGUUUUAUCACAAAGAAGAAGUCUGAAAAGGUGUCAGUUUGCAAAAUUGAAGGAGCUGGCAGGAUUUAGAUUCCAGAAACAAAACUGCUAUGAUAAUUGUUUUCCCUUUUGUUCAUUUUGUCUGAUUAUAGUCCAGAACGAAAAAUAUUUCGGUAGCUUGCAAAGCUGGAAGCUAACCAGGUUAUCAGAAUGGGCUCCAGCUCACUGAGGGAUAGCAAGAAAUAUGCUUUUCUUCUUUAGGAUGUUGUUAAUAGUUUUGUAUUGCUUGCCAGCUUAUUAAAACUUUGAUUUGAUUUG